rnacentral:lncRNA from 1 species
AAAUCAGACUUGUUGUCUCGUAUUGGAACUAUAAAUAAGGGCCUGGGCUUUGAAGUCAGAUGCACCACAAGAAGCACCACAAGAGGCACCACAAGAAAAACCUAAGUGUUUGCUUUGGUUUAAGUCCAUACUCAGUUAAAUAGUUUGGACUUAUAGUUUGGUUUUUCUUGUUUAGUAUUUUCGGGUGUUUUAUGGCCUAGGAACAUCUUCCUAAGGCAUUUGUAAUUGUCCCUCUUUUGCAGUAGUAAUUUGCUCCUCUUUCGUCCGUGGAUGUAGGUCAAAGUUAAUUGACCGAACCACGUAUAUCUGGUGUUCUAGUGUUCUUGUCGCUUUUAUCUUUUC